UUUCCUGUAUUUUACUCAUUCACCGGCAAGAUGGUUAAGCUUGUGGCAUUGGGUGUGUUAGUGCUUUUGGCUUCAUCGUACGCCUUGCCGUUUAAGACUGAGCUGGGCUGCGGUUGCAGUUGCAGAAACUGGAUCUCACCGUGCCCCAUUCUGCCGCCUUGCCCCAUUUUGCCACCUUGCCCCAUUUUGCCACCUUGCCCCAUUCUGCCACCUUGCCCCAUUCUGCCACCUUGCCCCCGCGUGGAUCCCCUCCCUGCCCCCUGCCCGUGCCCUUGCCCCGAACCUGUCACCCCGCCGUGCCCCCAACCAGAUAUUCAACCCGAGCCGUGCCCCGACGUUGAACCAAUUCCAUCGCCACCCCCAUGCCCAGAUGUUGAACAGAUCUACCCAUACCCCCGCCCGUACCCAUACUUUGAACCUAUCAACCCAUGUCCCCGCCCCUAUAUAGAACCUAUAACCCCCCAACCGCGCCCGUAUAUACAACCAUUUUACCCCUACCCACGACCGUGCCCCGAACCUGUUUACCCACGACCAUUCCCAAUUUACCAGUACCAGUUUAUCAAGCCAUACCCACGCCCGUACCCUGAACUGAUUUCACCUUGUCCGCGCCCCUAUGUGGAGCCUAUUUGCCCCCCAUCGCCUUGCCCCAGACCGGAGCCUAUUUGCCCCAGUCCAAUUGCUAUCCCACGUCCCAUAUGGCAAUCUGUACUGACCAUACGGCCUAGGUGCUCUUGCUCUUAAUUUCAAAAAUUGUUAGCAACAUACUCGAUAAAAUUGAUAUCGAGUGUUAACAGUCGCAGUAGAAAAUUAUCAAAAACAAAUGAAAACUAUAAAAAAGUACAAAAUUAGAUAAAUUCAUCACCCCAAAAAAAUUACACGAGACCAUGGAAUAAAAAGCUAUUCUUAAAUAAAAAUUAGGAAAAUGAACAUGAACUAAGAAAUUUUUUAAAAAUCUGGGAAACAGGAACUUUCUCAAUAUACGGACGAAACUGGAACUUUUGGACUUUCUAAAUUAAUUGAUUGGAUUCAAAAUUGUAAAUACUUCACUCUGAUUCGAUGAACAAAUUUAAUAAAUUGGAUGUUGACAA